rnacentral:tRNA from 2 species
GGAAAGAUGGCUGAGUUGGUCUAAAGCGCACGAUUGGAAAUCGUGUAACGGCUAAUACCCGUUCAAGGGUUCGAAUCCCUUUCUUUCCGCCA